UGUUGCUCAGUGGGCAGAGUAUUUGCCUAGCAAGCACCAAGGCCUGGGUUCGAUCCCCAGCA
rnacentral:tRNA from 1 species